UACGUAGGGGCCUAGCGUUGUCCGGAAUUAUUGGGCGUAAAGAGCUCGUAGGCGGUUCGGCAAGUCGGAUGUGAAAUCUCCACGCUUAACGUGGAGGGGGCCAUUCGAAACUGCUGUGACUCGAGUCCGGUAGAGGAGUGCGGAAUUCCUGGUGUAGCGGUGAAAUGCGCAGAUAUCAGGAGGAACACCAACGGCGAAGGCAGCACUCUGGGCCGAUAACUGACGCUGAGGGAGCGAAAAGCAUGGGGGAGCGAACAGGAAUUAGAUACCCGGGG
rnacentral:rRNA from 1 species